GCAUAUCCUAUAAGCGGAGGAAAAGAAACCAACAGGGAUUGCCCUAGUAACGGCGAGUGAAGCGGCAACAGCUCAAAUUUGAAAUCUGGCUUCGGCCCGAGUUGUAAUUUGUAGAGGAUGCUUUGGGCGCGGCUCUAACUGAGUUCCCUGGAACGGGACGCCACAGAGGGUGAGAGCCCCGUAUAGUUAGAUGCCUAGCCUAUGUAAAGCUCCUUCGACGAGUCGAGUAGUUUGGGAAUGCUGCUCUAAAUGGGAGGUAAAUUUCUUCUAAAGCUAAAUAUUGGCCAGAGACCGAUAGCGCACAAGUAGAGUGAUCGAAAGAUGAAAAGCACUUUGAAAAGAGGGUUAAAUAGCACGUGAAAUUGUUGAAAGGGAAGCGCUUGUGACCAGACUUGCGCCGGGCAGAUCAUCCGGUGUUCUCACCGGUGCACUCUGCCCGGCUCAGGCCAGCAUCGGUUCUCGUGGGGGGAUAAAGGUCCCGGGAACGUAGCUCCUCCGGGAGUGUUAUAGCCCGGGGCGUAAUGCCCUCGUGGGGACCGAGGUUCGCGCAUCUGCAAGGAUGCUGGCGUAAUGGUCAUCAGCGACCCGUCUUG
rnacentral:rRNA from 2 species